UGGGGAAUUUUGGACAAUGGGGGAAACCCUGAUCCAGCCAUCCCGCGUGUGCGAUGAAGGCCUUCGGGUUGUAAAGCACUUUUGGCAGGAAAGAAACGUCGCGGGUUAAUACCCCGCGAAACUGACGGUACCUGCAGAAUAAGCACCGGCUAACUACGUGCCAGCAGCCGCGGUAAUACGUAGGGUGCAAGCGUUAAUCGGAAUUACUGGGCGUAAAGCGUGCGCAGGCGGUUCGGAAAGAAAGAUGUGAAAUCCCAGAGCUUAACUUUGGAACUGCAUUUUUAACUACCGGGCUAGAGUGUGUCAGAGGGAGGUGGAAUUCCGCGUGUAGCAGUGAAAUGCGUAGAUAUGCGGAGGAACACCGAUGGCGAAGGCAGCCUCCUGGGAUAACACUGACGCUCAUGCACGAAAGCGUGGGGAGCAAACAGGAUUAGAUACCCUGGUAGUCCACGCCCUAAACGAUGCCAACUAGCUGUUGGGGCCUUCGGGCCUUGGUAGCGCAGCUAACGCGUGAAGUUGACCGCCCUGGGGAGUACGGUCGCAAGAUUAAAACUUAAAUGAAUUGACGGGGUCAUAGCUGUUUCC
rnacentral:rRNA from 1 species